AGUGAACGCUGGCGGUAGGCCUAACACAUGCAAGUCGAACGGCAGCACAGUAAGAGCUUGCUCUUACAGGAGGCGAGUGGCGGACGGGUGAGGAAGACAUCGGAAGCAACUGUUUCGUGGGGGGUAAAGUAGGGAAAAUGACGCUAAUACCGCAUAGGACCUACGGGUGAAAGCAGGGGAACUUCGGACCAUGCGCGAAUGAAGGAGCCGAUGUCGGAUUAGCAAGUUGGCGGGGUAAAGGCCCACCAAGGCGACGAUCCGUAGCUGGUCUGAGAGGAUGAUCAGCCACACUGGAACUGAGACACGGCCCAGACUCCCACGGGAGGCAGCCGUGGGGAAUCUUGGACAAUGGGCGCAAGCCUGAUCCAGCCAUACCGCGUGGGUGAAGAAGGCCUUCGGGUUGUAGAGCCCUUUUGUUGGGAAAGAAAAGCCGCAGGUUAAUACCCCGCUGUUCUGACGGUACCCAAAGAAUAAGCACCGGCUAACUUCGUG
rnacentral:rRNA from 1 species